rnacentral:rRNA from 1 species
UACAGGGGGGGCAAGCGUUGUUCGGAAUUACUGGGCGUAAAGGGCUCGUAGGUGGCCAACUAAGUCAGACGUGAAAUCCCUCAGCUUAACUGGGAAACUGCGUCUGAUACUGGAUGGCUUGAGUUUGGGAGAGGGAUGCGGAAUUCCAGGUGUAGCGGUGAAAUGCGUAGAUAUCUGGAGGAACACCGGUGGCGAAGGCGGCAUCCUGGACCAACACUGACACUGAGGUACGAAGGCCAGGGGAGCAAACGGG